rnacentral:rRNA from 1 species
UACGUAGGUGGCAAGCGUUGUCCGGAAUUACUGGGUGUAAAGGGAGCGCAGGCGGGAAGCCAAGUCAGCUGUGAAAACUACGGGCUUAACUUGUAGACUGCAGUUGAAACUGGUUUUCUUGAGUGAAGUAGAGGUUGGCGGAAUUCCGAGUGUAGCGGUGAAAUGCGUAGAUAUUCGGAGGAACACCGGUGGCGAAGGCGGCCAACUGGGCUCUAACUGACGCUGAGGCUCGAAAGUGUGGGGAGCAAACAGG